rnacentral:lncRNA from 1 species
UGUUAUUUAAAGAAAAUAGUUUUUUCAUUUUUUAUGGUAUUUGGCACAGGGAAUUAGUUGGAAGAUUGCAAUAACUUGGCAUGUGGAUCGUUGUGAUAGCGACUUUGGGGGAUAGAGAUAGGAGUUUAAGGCGGAUUUUAUCUAAAAAAAUAUGGAUGCUUUGCAAUUUCCAAAAAUGUGAGACUGUAUUCUUCAAGAGCAAAAAAAUUAAAAAUUCAUUAAAAAUUAAAAAUAAAAGGUUCUCUCCAUGCACCUCGUUAGGAUGCACCAUUUCUGAGAUAAUCAAUUAAUAUGUUUCAGAAUUACCUUACCU